UUUCAAUUAUUUUCACCUGAAAUUGAGAAAGAGAAGCGGCAGCAGCUGUUGGUGUUGGUCCGAGAGAUUAAGAGAGAAGAUAAAGAAGAGAUAGAUCUGAGGAGGAUGGGAAUCAUUGUUCUGUUACUACAGUUGUUGUUGCCACAAUACAUGAAGAAUGGCUCUAUUAUUGUUCGACACAGAAGAACUGUUGAAGAAAUUGAUGUGGAAUUAGGGUUUGGUGAAGAUGAGUGUUUGAAGAAUCUGAUGAUGAUUAUGGCUGAAUUGAGAGUUGAAUAAUCUUGGGUUAAUGUUAAAUUUCAGAAAUCCACGAAGAAAAGAAGAAGAAAGAACGGUUUUUGUGUGUUGAGUGGAUGAGAAGGUAUAAAGAUUAAAGAAGUUGUUGCCAGAGAAUGGUAUUGUUGGGUGCUAUACAGGGAGAAGGUGGUGAUGAUGCAGGGAAGCUACAUGAUUGAGGUGCUGCUGCUGAGAAGAAGUUCGAGUUUAAAUGUUUGAUGUUGUUGCCGUUGCUGUUGAGAUGAAUCAGAAGAAGAAAUGGGUUUGUCUGUGAGUUGAUACAGAUGAAGUAUGUAAUGGUUUUGGAGCUACAGGGAAUGUGUUGUGAACUGUGGUUUGACUUGCAGGUAGAAGAACUUGCAGAUUGAGAUGGUGGUUACACUGGGUUUGGAUGCCAGUGGAGAUGUGGCUAGUGGUGUUGUUCAAUUACAGAAGACAGAGAUAGCAGCGCAGGUGUUGUGUGUUGCUUGAAUGGAUGCAAUGAACUGAAUUGCAGAUAUGGGGUGCAGCUACAAAUGUGUUUGUUCAAAGAAGCUACAAAGGAUGCAGUGAGAAUUCAGGUGUAACUCAGCUGGUCUUGCUGAUACUGUUGAUGUUGUUGUUAAUGGAACCAAGGUUUUGAAUCUGGGGUUGAGACUGAACUGAUGUUCGAAGUGAUUCUGUGAAUAAAGAGAUGGAGAUGAAUGACUGAGCUACAGAUGGAAGGAAUGUUGUUGCAAUUGGUGUGGCUCUGGUGCAAGGGAGAAAUACUGGUUGAUGCUGUUGCUUUUGUUGGUGGUGAACAAGAAAUUGGCCAUGGGCUGAAGGCAGUGAGAAUGAGCUGCAAUUGCAGACCGGGCGGACUUUGCAAGUCACCUGAGACGUUUUCCGGCCAAUUUCCGGCGACACUUUUUGGACAAAUUUUCUACAUGGGCUCUUCACACACAUGGCUUGGUGGACUUCUUGGUGAUGGGCUUUUGAGAUAUGACCUAGUUUUGGAACGGAGAAAAGCUACAAAAAGAAAAGUUUUCGACUUUCUUUUAAUCACGUAUUAUUAUUGGAGCUUUGGGUAGAUAGCCGCGACUAGGGUUUGCUUUCAUUUAUUUUUCAUCUUCUUCAAUUUAUUUUUGAUUAUGAUUAUGGUGAACUCUAAAUCUAUGAGUAGCUAAAUACUAUUAUUGGUUAUGGGAUAAAAGUUGAUUUCUCAAGCAUGAUAUUUAAAUCAAUGAAUUAGUUUUGUCUCAA